CCUACGGGUGGCUGCAGUGGGGAAUAUUGGACAAUGGGGGGAACCCUGAUCCAGCCAUGCCGCAUGUGUGAAGAAGGCCCUCGGGUUGUAAAGCACUUUCAGUGAGGAAGAACGCCUGGUGGUUAAUACCCAUCAGGAAAGACAUCACUCACAGAAGAAGCACCGGCUAACUCCGUGCCAGCAGCCGCGGUAAUACGGAGGGUGCGAGCGUUAAUCGGAAUUACUGGGCGUAAAGCGCGCGUAGGUGGCUUGAUAAGCCGGUUGUGAAAGCCCCGGGCUCAACCUGGGAACGGCAUCCGGAACUGUCAAGCUAGAGUGCAGGAGAGGAAGGUAGAAUUCCCGGUGUAGCGGUGAAAUGCGUAGAGAUCGGGAGGAAUACCAGUGGCGAAGGCGGCCUUCUGGACUGACACUGACACUGAGGUGCGAAAGCGUGGGUAGCAAACAGGAUUAGAUACCCUGGUAGUC
rnacentral:rRNA from 1 species